rnacentral:rRNA from 1 species
AAUAGAUACCCGGUAGUCCAUGCCGUAAACGAUGUCUACUAGCCGUUGGGCCCUUGAGGCUUUAGUGGCGCAGCUAACGCGAUAAGUAGACCGCCUGGGGAGUACGGUCGCAAGACUAAAACUCAAAUGAAUUGACGGGGGCCCGCACAAGCGGUGGAGCAUAUGGUUUAAUUCGAUGCAACGCGAAGAACCUUACCUGGCCUUGACAUACAGAGAACUUUCCAGAGAUGGAUUGGUGCCUUCGGGAACUCUGAUACAGGUGCUGCAUGGCUGUCGUCAGCUCGUGUCGUGAGAUGUUGGGUUAAGUCCCGCAACGAGCGCAACCCUUUUCCUUAUUUGCCAGCACUUCGGGUGGGAACUUUAAGGAUACUGCCAGUGACAAACUGGAGGAAGGCGGGGACGACGUCAAGUCAUCAUGGCCCUUACGGCCAGGGCUACACACGUGCUACAAUGGUCGGUACAAAGGGUUGCUACUGCGCGAGCAGAUGCUAAUCUACAAAAAGACCGAUCGUAGUCCGGAUCGCAGU